CCCCUAUUCUGCAUUUCUACUCGAAUCGUAAUUUUCUCCGAUUGGGAACUUUGGUAUUCUGCGUUUCGAUUCAACUUCGAAAAUUCCAAUUCUAUGUAUUCUGCAUUCCGAUCGUAAUUACGUUUUUGUACGUUGAAGUUUUGUUGGCGGAAAGCCGUUAUAUAUUCAUUUUCGUGCACUUGGAUAAAAUAAUUUCCUCAAAUAUGUCAAAAGUAACAACGGCAGAGCAAUACGAAAAAUUGUGUGAUAUGAUGGCCACGAAAAGAGAUAUUGCGCAGGGCUUCCAAAAGCGACCGAAGGAAGAAGUACAGGAGUUUUGGGAGGAGGUUGUUAGGCUGGUGAAGGAAAAAGUAGAAAUAAAAAUGCAAAUGCUAAGAUUAGAUCCAAAUUAUAAGCCGGAUUCAAAGUAGUCAUUUUUUAAUUGUUAGCCUUUUAUUUAUUUUACUAUUAUUCAUUUAUAUAACGAGCUGUGAAAUGAAAUAAAAGCAUUUACUUUUUUAAAAUAGGAGCUGUAAAAUGCACUGAA